rnacentral:rRNA from 1 species
GACGAACGCUGGCGGCGUGCUUAACACAUGCAAGUCGAGCGGUAAGGCUCCUUCGGGAGUACACGAGCGGCGAACGGGUGAGUAACACGUGAGCAAUCUGCCCUUCUCAUCGGAAUAACCAUUGGAAACGAUGGCUAAUGCCGAAUACGACUUCCUUUCGCAUGUCAGGAAGUGGAAAGCUCCGGCGGAGAAGGAUGAGCUCGCGGCCUAUCAGCUUGUUGGUGAGGUAAUGGCUCACCAAGGCGACGACGGGUAGCCGGCCUGAGAGGGUGACCGGCCACACUGGGACUGAGACACGGCCCAGACUCCUACGGGAGGCAGCGGUGGGGAAUAUUGGACAAUGGGCGAAAGCCUGAUCCAGCAACGCCGCGUGAGGGAUGACGGCCUUCGGGUUGUAAACUUCUUUCAGCAGGGACGAAGCGAAAGUGACGGUACCUGCAGAAGAAGGACUGGCCAACUACGUGCCAGCCGCCGCCGUAA